UGAAAUUGUUAUUAGUACUUACAAUGCUUUACUACAAUUCAUUGAUUUAGGAAAUUGAAUUGGCAGCAGUUGGUGCAGAUCAGCAAAAGAUUUCUGGAGCAGUUUGCAGCUUUUCUGCCACUCUCUGAGAAUUCAUGGAUGAGUUGAACUUGAACCCAUUUG